rnacentral:rRNA from 1 species
CAGUCGCCGCGGUAAUACGAAGGGUGCAAGCGUUACUCGGAAUUACUGGGCGUAAAGCGUGCGUAGGUGGUGGUUUAAGUCCGUUGUGAAAGCCCUGGGCUCAACCUGGGAAUUGCAGUGGAUACUGGGUCACUAGAGUGUGGUAGAGGAUAGUGGAAUUUCCGGUGUAGCAGUGAAAUGCGUAGAGAUCGGAAGGAACAUCUGUGGCGAAGGCGACUAUCUGGGCCAACACUGACACUGAGGCACGAAAGCGUGGGGAGCAAACAGGAUUAGAUACCCCUGUAGUCCCUGUCUCUUAUAA